rnacentral:rRNA from 1 species
AGGUUAAUCCGAGUGGUUUCUGCUAAAGAAACCUUUUGACAGUCCUAGAAACACUGUUGAAUAAGGGGUGGGCAAGUUCUGGUGUCAGCCGCCGCGGUAAAACCAGCACCUCAAGUGGUCAGGAUGAUUAUUGGGCCUAAAGCAUCCGUAGCCGGCUCAGUAAGUUUUCGGUUAAAUCUGUGCGCUCAACGUACAGGCUGCCGGGAAUACUGCAGAGCUAGGGAGUGGGAGAGGUAGACGGUACUCGGGAGGAAGUGGUAAAAUGCUUUGAUCUUUCGAUGACCACCUGUGGCGAAGGCGGUCUACCAGAACACGUCCGACGGUGAGGGAUGAAAGCUGGGGGAGCAAACCGGAUUAGAUACCCGGGUAGUCCCAGCUGUAAACUAUGCAAACUCAGUGAUGCAUUGGCUUGUGGCCAAUGCAGUGUUGCAGGGAAGCCGUUAAGUUUGCCGCCUG